rfam:Pteropus alecto contig43986, whole genome shotgun sequence.
UAACUUAACCUGGCAGGAGAGAUACCUUGAUCACGUAGGUGGUUUUCCCAGGGCGAGGCUUAUCCUUGACACUCCAGAUGUGCUGACCGCUGCGAUUUCUCCAAAUGUGGGAAACUCGACUGCAUAAUUUGUGGUAGUGGGGGACUGCGUUGGCGCUCUCCCCUG